rnacentral:rRNA from 1 species
UACGUAGGGUGCAAGCGUUAAUCGGAAUUACUGGGCGUAAAGCGUGCGCAGGCGGUUUUGUAAGACUGUCGUGAAAUCCCCGGGCUCAACCUGGGAAUGGCGAUGGUGACUGCAAGGCUAGAGUUUGGCUGAGGGGGGUAGAAUUCCACGUGUAGCAGUGAAAUGCGUAGAUAUGUGGAGGAACACCGAUGGCGAAGGCAGCCCCCUGGGUCAAAACUGACGCUCAUGCACGAAAGCGUGGGGAGCAAACAGG